rnacentral:rRNA from 1 species
UACGUAGGGUGCGAGCGUUGUCCGGAAUUAUUGGGCGUAAAGGGCUCGUAGGCGGCGUGUCGCGUCGGGAGUGAAAGCCCGCUGCUUAACGGCGGGUUGGCUUCCGGUACGGGCAUCGCUGGAGUGCGGCAGGGGAGACUGGAAUUCCUGGUGUAGCGGUGGAAUGCGCAGAUAUCAGGAGGAACACUGGUGGCGAAGGCGGGUCUCUGGGCCGAUACUGACACUGAGGAGCGAAAGCGUGGGGAGCGAACAGG